UACGGGGGGAGCAAGCGUUGUUCGGAUUUACUGGGCGUAAAGGGCGCGUAGGCGGCCUCCGCAAGUCAAUUGUGAAAUCUCCGGGCUUAACUCGGAAAGGUCAACUGAUACUGCGGGGCUAGAGUGCGGAAGGGGCAACUGGAAUUCUUGGUGUAGCGGUGAAAUGCGUAGAUAUCAAGAGGAACACCUGCGGCGAAGGCAGGUUGCUGGGCCGACACUGACGCUGAGGCGCGAAAGCUAGGGGAGCGAACGGG
rnacentral:rRNA from 1 species